rnacentral:rRNA from 1 species
GCUUGCUCUAGGGGAUUAGUGGCGAACGGGUGAGUAACACGUGAGUAACCUGCCCUUGACUCUGGGAUAACCUCCGGAAACGGAAGCUAAUACCGGAUAUGACGCACGGAGGCAUCUCCUGUGCGUGGAAAGAACUUCGGUCAAGGAUGGACUCGCGGCCUAUCAGGUAGUUGGUGAGGUAACGGCCCACCAAGCCUACGACGGGUAGCCGGCCUGAGAGGGUGACCGGCCACACUGGGACUGAGACACGGCCCAGACUCCUACGGGAGGCAGCAGUGGGGAAUAUUGCACAAUGGGCGCAAGCCUGAUGCAGCAACGCCGCGUGAGGGAUGACGGCCUUCGGGUUGUAAACCUCUUUUAGUAGGGAAGAAGCGAAAGUGACGGUACCUGCAGAAAAAGCACCGGCUAACUACGUGCCAGCAGCCGCGGUAAUACGUAGGGUGCGAGCGUUGUCCGGAAUUAUUGGGCGUAAAGAGCUCGUAGGCGGUCUGUCGCGUCUGCUGUGAAAACCCGAGGCUCAACCUCGGGCCUGCAGUGGGUACGGGCAGACUAGAGUGCGGUAGGGGAGAAUGGAAUUCCUGGUGUAGCGGUGGAAUGCGCAGAUAUCAGGAGGAACACCGAUGGCGAAGGCAGUUCUCUGGGCCGUAACUGACGCUGAGGAGCGAAAGCGUGGGGAGCGAACAGGAUUAGAUACCCUGGUAGUCCACGCCGUAAACGUUGGGCGCUAGAUGUGGGGACC